rnacentral:tRNA from 1 species
GUUUUGGUAGCUUAAUCCUAAAAGCGUCGGCCUUGUAAGCCGAAAAUCGGAGGUUAAAAUCCUUCCCGAAAC